rnacentral:siRNA from 1 species
UACUACAAAAGUAAUGGAU